AUUGAACGCUGGCGGCAGGCCUAACACAUGCAAGUCGAGCGCGCGGCGGACGGGUGAGUAAUGUCUGGGAAACUGCCUGAUGGAGGGGGAUAACUACUGGAAACGGUAGCUAAUACCGCAUACCAUCCAGUAUGCCCAGAUGGGAUUAGCUGGUAGGUGGGGUACCGGUCCACCUAGACGACGAUCCCUAGCUGGUCGGAGAGGAUGACCAGCCACACUGGAACUGAGACACGGUCCAGACUCCUACGGGAGGCAGCAGUGGGGAAUAUUGCACAAUGGGCGCAAGCCUAAUGCAGCCAUGCCGCGUGUGUGAAGAAGGCCUUCGGGUUGUAAAGCACUUUCAGCGGGGAGGCGUUACCCGCAGAAGAAGCACCGGCUAACUCCGUGCCAGCAGCCGCGGUAAUUC
rnacentral:rRNA from 1 species